rnacentral:lncRNA from 1 species
UAUGGGCCGUAAUAAGCCUCUCUUUUUUCACUUAAUAAUGUGUCUGAGAUGUCAUUCUGUGUGAGUACAUAGUUUUUCUUCAGUUUUUAAAUUUCACUGACUAGCUAUACCAUAAAUUGCUUAACCAAUUCCUUAUUGAUCUAAUCCCUUAAUUUUAAAUAUAUAAAAAUUGGAUGGAAGAAUAAAUGCAGAAAUGAGUACAGACUUCAGCCCAGCUUAGAUUGUGUGAAAAUAAAAUUGUAGACUUUGGGAAGUUUGAGAUCUCUGAAGAAGACCUUGAAGCAGUUUUCUGGGUGGAGACAGUGUGAUGUGAUUCAAAUUAAUACACAGUCCUUCCGGUUCCUCUCAGAUUGGGAAUUCCCCACUUUCCUCUCUCUCUGCUGGUUAACUAAGGUCAGUGGGGAUUCAAGACACUGAGGAUCCAGUGUGUAUUCAACAGUUUGGAAGUCAUGCAUCCCGGCUUGACAAUACCAGUGCAAAACAUGACAUGUUCAUAUAUCUGUUUUAAUAAUUUCAUUCCCCAGGAGUAGCCAAGAAAUAUGUUUUGGUUGCAUGAAGAUGUUCAUUGCAGUUUUAUUUUAACCACAAAUGAUUGACAACAGCCCAAAAGCCCAUCAGUUAAGAAGAAAACUAUAUCAUCAUUUAAAAUGAUGUUCCAGAAGACUUUUCAUUGACUUGUAAAUAUGGUCACAAUAUACUAUAAAUGCAAGAGGGAAAACAGUUUUCUAACGAAUUUAUAUAGUAUGAGGCAGAUUUUAUAAAGUCAAAUUUAUGUAUAAAGACUAAACAUCCCUGAGGAAAAUGUCACAAUGGUUAUCUCUGGGUGAGAGGUGCUAACAUUUUCAUUUUCUUCUUGCCAUCUGUAUUUCCUAAGUUUUCAAAUGAAUACAUACUACUUUUGUAGUAAGAAAGCUAUCUUGGAAAAUAAGUCAGAGUUUUCUGCAACUCAGAAUCCGGAACUUAAAGGUAAGCAGGUGGGGCAGGUAAGAAAGCAGUCAGG